rnacentral:lncRNA from 1 species
GCUUCCGAUGCUCAGACACCUUCACGCUGUGCAGCAGCUGCUUGGGGCUUAGAUCGUUUUUGGGGAACAGCGUUUGUCGAGGUUGCCGGUUCAAUCCCCAGCAGCAGAGGCUCCAGGGGUCGUACCUGAGGGUCUGCCUCAGGUGCUCCCUGGGCGAGACCGGGUCAAACCCUGGACCGCGUCGGGCAUCAGCAGCUGUUGAGUCUGACUUGAUGAUCUCACAGCAUCACGCCGAUGAGUCACGUUUAUGGAGGAUUUACGCAGUAUCACAAAGGAAAUGAAAGAGUCAAAAUGUGUAGAUCAAAGCUCAGACGCUGCUGCGGCUGCGUGGCCUCCAAACGUGACAAUGUCACACCCGCUCCGGUGUCCUCACUGAUGUUCGCCGCGUAUUGUUUGCGUGAACACCUGAACCAGCUGAGGCACAGGUGAGCGGAUGAAAAGCGUAACCCGAGUCCUGAACUCACCACGCUGACGUUUCCACCUGCAGACUGAAGGGAGGUUCCACGGACGCGUGAGGCUGCUGCCCAAGUUCUGCGUGGGCUGUCCCGAGGUCAGUAAACGCACCGCCGCUUCUGCUUCGUGAGCACACACACACAAAGCAGUGAUUCACACCUGGCUCCAGACGGCCUCCACUCACAUACAGUACCUGCUGCGUUUUACGAGGAGGAAGUGUGUGAGGGGCGGCCUUCCUCUUCCUUGUUGCCCCAGGGACGAUGCUGGGCUUUCCCCGCAUCACAGGCCAGUGUUUGUGCACGCGGCACGUACGAUCUGUGCAGUGAGAGCAACACAAGGUUAAAGCUGCAGAAACCGCUCCCACCGGUUAAUGAUCAGUCCAUCGGCCUCGGCGCUUCCUGGAGUCAUCGUCACAGCACGAAGCAGGAAACGAUCCCAGGGGAAAGUCCGGGGUUGGCUGGAACGUUGGACAGAAGCGCUGGGUUCUAGGCUCCUCUGAACAUGAACGUGUCUGACCUCAGCAGGCCGUCGGCUGGUUGGAGAUGCGACAGGUGGUGGACGUGUACCAGAGGAGCGUCUUCAGCCGAGAGGCCGUCAGGAAGCUGCUGCCGGACCACUACAGCGACCUGCUGCACCGCCUGCAGCACACGCUGCAGCACUGCGUUUUUUCUUCUCAACCUUCAAAAUGGUUCAAAACCAUUAGAAAACUGGAGAAAAAAAUUAAAAAGAAGAAACGAGAUGAAGGGGCUCUGAAAGCUGUUGGAGAGUUCACCUUUGUGCUCCGGUGGAUUAACGAACUGACGCAGCAGCACCAGUAGAUCCGCACCAGUAAAGCAGCAGCAGCAGCACCAGCAUCAGAAGAUCAGCAGGACCAGUAGAUCAGCAGGACCAGUAGAGCAGCACCAGUAGAGCAGCACCAGCAGCCUGACCAUCAGUAUUCACAUGGCUUCCACCAGCGCCAGCAGGGCUUCACACCUGGAAACGCGUCUAGAUGCACUGACCUCAUCGCUCCAGGAGCAUUUCUUUCAUUUUGCAUCUGUGGGAUUCGUUAAAUUCAGGCGAAGUUGCCUGCGGUGAUUGUCCUCCGUCGCCUGGAUGGAGCCUCUUGAUGAUGUUUUUCAAGUAUUGAUUAGUUUGUGUUUUAAUGUUGUAGCUUUAUUUGCUAAAUAAGUUAUUUUCAGGAAAUAUUUAUUUUUGAAUAUGAAGACGACUCAAUGUCUUAGAAACUUAAUAUAUUGAAUUCAGACAAGAUGAAGUAUAUUAUUUAUAUGAAUUUGUGGACUAGACCGUGAAUGAAAUAAAAC